GAUUGUAGCACUAGUUCGAAUUGCACCAAUGGCGGUGUUUGUGUGGAAAACGAAACGGACUACACGUGUACAUGCAAGAAUGGGUGGACAGGAAAGAACUGUGAACUCGUCGUCUGUACCUGGUCUGGACAUUGUAACGACCGUGGAACGUGUGUCCCAACAUCAACCAAUACAGACUAUACGUGUAACAAUUGCGCUUUAGGGUGGAAAGGAAAAAGUUGCCAUCUCGUUGAGGCGUCAACAUCCCAAGCGCCGGAAUACCAAUCAACUGCCUCGUCUACUACGGAAUCGUUGACAUCUAUGUACAUCGGCGUCGGGGUUGGCUUCUUUGUGUUGGUUGUCAUCAAUGUAGCAGUUAUUGUCAUCGUAACAAAGAAACUCCGAAGAAGAAAUACUCCCAUGCCAAACACCUUUACUCCCCAGAUAAAUGAGGGGAGAGAGUAUCAAAAUCUGACAGCCCGUGGUCUCAUAGAAAGCGUUUAUGAUCGCAUAGCAGACCGUGAUGUGCAUUUGAGUGAGUAUGAAAACUUAAAGAUUGCCACAGAGACGAGUUUGUAGUCUAACGUCCCCCCAAUACAGGGUGCCACUAGCAGCACGGAUGACUUUACCUAAGACCAAUAACUGCAAAGCUGUCGUAAGACAUAUCAAUAUCACUGACAACGAAAUACUAGCCGUUACGUUAAACGAGUGUCAUUUGCAAGAUUACAUCAGUGACAACAGAGCAUUCGAUGGGUAUACAUGCCUCGCUUAAAAAACAAGCGAUUGUUCCUUCGCACAAAACAUGAAGGACAUCAGUUUGUUAUAUACACAUGUAUGCAACCUUGUAAAGUAGGAAGGAAUAAUUUAUAUUGUAAAAGAUAAAUAAAACAAAAGGUUAUUUAUUUGCAUUCGUAUUCAUAAAUUAUAUAUCACAAAAGUAAUACCAAAUACAAAUUAAGACGUGAAAACAUGUUAAGAUAAUAUGUGUUCUCUCAAAUCGGUAUCUGUUUAUUGAUGUUUGCGACCAAUUGUUUGUGUGUGAUUUUCCUUAAUGUCCUUACAUGAUAUUCUAACAUUAAACUAUUUCUCUGUCGCUUCAUUUCGUUGUGUGCGUUCGGUUUAUAUUAUGUUUAUUCUUGAUGUACAAUAACGCUGCACAAUGUGAAUGUAUAUUUACGUAUUUCGUAUCGCUAUGCCAUGCAGCAAAAUACUCCAAUCUUAAACGACGAGUUCAGAGUAAAGCCGUCACAUUUUGAAUUGCUGAAUCCCUUCUAUUGAAAUAAUGCGAUUUAAGCGCACAAGUUUGCUGAAAAUGCAAAAAAAUAAAUUUUAACAACGUUUCUUUUUAUUUUUAUUAAUGAAAACUUAAGUUAAUUGACCGUUGGCUUAAUAUUCGUCGUCCGGAAUGCGCUAGAUGUUGGACAAAACAGACAAUAUUAUGGCAGUACAAAUUAAUUUGACCCUUGUUAAUUCAUUUUAAAACCAUUUUAAAAUAGUAUACUUAUUUCGAUACAACAAUCAUUGUUAAAUAACAUGGAUUAUUAUUGUUUGUUAUUUCCACUUUUAAGAUUUCUUUUUAGAAAUACUGAGUUCCAGAAUUCUCUUGCAAUUUUGAGUAAAUUUGUCAAAAACUAUUGUGCUGUUCUCAUACGUUUGAAUAACCUUUUUUGCCGUUUCUUUAAUUGUUUUAGCCUGCAAGUAUGGUUUUAUUUGAAAAUGAUUGAUGGACGAAAGAAUAACGAAACCAAAUAUACUAUUCUUAUAUAAGUUAUGAGUAUUAUUGUAUGUAUCUUUAUAGUAACAUAAGUGUUAUUAUUAACGUGUCAAAUUUAAGAUUGUAUGUUUUUUUCAUAGAUUACACAAAUUAAAGAUAUGAAUGUGGUUGCUGCAAUUCGUCAACUUGUUGUAUGAUCAAUUGUAUAAUAACGUGAAUACAUGCCUGUGUACACAUUUGGCUUAAUCAAUAAUCAAAUUCAGUCGUGUUUUAAUAUUACAAAAUAUUACUUCUUACGAAGGAAAAGUUUGAUUUUGCAUGAUAUUAAAUACAUAGAUUGCUUUGAGAAUAGUCUAAUAACGCUUUGUCUUUUUGACAUCAUGUGAACUUGAUAUCAUGUUUCUGUACUUCGAUAUUAUUUAAUCUAAACAUCUAUACAAUGUAAAUCGUGCAAUUCUUAUAUAUUAUUUUGAUGGAUGGACUGUGUAAUUUACGUGCUUUGUAUGCACAUAUUUCUCUGUUACAGUUUCCUUAAAAAGUAUUCUAUAUCGUGCUAUAUUGUAUAGCUGGUAUUUCCUAAGAUCUCUGAACAUAUGUUUCGAUGGUAUGUAACAUUUAUAUAAAUUAAAUAUAACGAUAAAUUAUACUGUGUUUGUUAUGUAUCAUUUAGGCAUAAAUUUACUGUAUAUUGAGAGAAUCGAUUUCGAUAUUAUCGGUUAAUUAGGUAAAUAGUCUAUAUUGAGCAUAUGUACGUGGAUAUAAUUUAUGAAUUCAAUGAAUGUAUAUCUAGCGUUAGUACUUAGAUGUGUUUUCUUUAUGUAAAUCAAUGUACAUAUUUGAUGGCUCAAUUUUCCUGAGAUGAAUCAACUAUUGAAUACAUAUAUUUUGAUUUUGUUCAGUUUCAGUUUGUAUACAGAAAUAAAAUUAUAUUGUGAACAUGUAUUUUGAUUUUUUAGAUAACAUAACUGUAUAACUUUCACCCGUAUAUUGUUGGUUCUGAGAUAAAUGAAAUUAAUAUAGUAUUCAUAUAUUUUACUCUAUGCUUUCCUUCAAUUAAAUAAUUGUACAUUGAUCACAUGUAUGUUAUGACUGUAGAUGAUGCAAUUGUAGAUCGAUUUUAUUAUUUCCGGUUUUAAAAGUAUGGGAUAUUGUUCAUAUAUACCUUGAUUCGGGGAGAUAUAUAUUAAUUUUAUUUUGUGCGCCUGUUUUUGGAUCUUAUAUUUUCAUGCUGUAAAUUAAUAUCAGCUGUAUUGAGUAAAUAUAUUUAGAAAAUAUAUUAUUAUAUAUAUUUGUAUGAUUAAGUUGAUACAUUCCUUAAUUAAAUGCAUUUAAUAGUGCGCAUGUAAAUGUAUUUCGAAGCCGUUUGUUUUCCUGGUGUAACUGAGUGCCGUAAUAUGUGCUGAUAUAAGAUUUUCUUUCAAAUUAUUUAGUUACAAAUGCGGCAACAUUCUCACGAACUGCCCAAAGCCCAUCUGUUCGCUCGUAAAUAUACUCGGAUAUCGUCGCGGGAAAAUAACAUGGAAUAUAUUGUCACACACAAAAUAAAAACGAGCAUUUUGUAUCUAGUUAAAUCUAUGAUAACAGACCACAUAUAUCGCCGGAAUUUUGGCUAUUGCUAUAAGGUAUACUCGUAUGUGUUAACUUUAUUGUAUGAAAUAAUUUACGAAAUAUUGGUUGAUUUUGAGUAUAUAUGCUGUAUUACUAUAACUGUGUUUUGUUUGAAUAUGCAUGAGUGUUUUUUAGUAUUUAUAUGCCUUAAAUGUACAACAUUUAUACGGCUACAAAAACAAUUUCGAGCCACCAUGUGGGCUGGGCUGGUUUUUGGUUUGUUGGUUGUCCGAGGGGAUAUCAUCUUUUAUGCAUGAAGGGAUUUAGAUGAUACUUGUACUUACUUGUACUUACUUGUACUUACUUGAACUUACUUGUACUUACUUGUACUUACUUGUACUUACUUUAUUUCAUGAAGCCUCACACUUUUUCAAUUAUUUUACUAUGGGGCAUCUUGACAAGUUAGUAUUUUUAUUUGAAUAAAAUUCAAUUUUA